GACGAACGCUGGCGGCGUGCUUAACACAUGCAAGUCGAACGAAGUGGCGAACGGGUGAGUAACGCGUAAUCAACCUGCCCUUCCGAGGGGGACAACAGUUGGAAACGACUGCUACUACCGCAUACUGAUGGGGGGGAUUGCGUCUGAUUAGCUCGUUGGGGGGGUAACGGCCCACCAAGGCGAUGAUCAGUAGCCGGGCUGAGAUGAUGAACGGUCACAUAGGGACUGAGAAACGGCCCAGACUCCUACGGGAGGCAUGAGUGGGGAAUCUUCCGCAAUUGACGAAAGUCUGACGGAGCAACGCCGCGUGAGUGAUGACGGCCUUCGGGUUGUAAAGCUCUGUUAAUCGGGACGCGGUACCGGAAUAGAAAGCCACGGCUAAAUACGUGCCAGCAGCCGCGGUAAUUC
rnacentral:rRNA from 1 species